AUUGAACGCUGGCGGCAUGCCUUACACAUGCAAGUCGAACGGCAGCAUGGAAGAGCUUGCUCUUCUGAUGGCGAGUGGCGAACGGGUGAGUAAAGCAUCGGAACGUACCGUGUAGUGGGGGAUAACGUAGCGAAAGUUACGCUAAUACCGCAUACGCACUGAGGUGGAAAGCAGGGGAUCGCAAGACCUUGCGCUAUACGAGCGGCCGAUGUCAGAUUAGCUAGUUGGUAGGGUAAAGGCCUACCAAGGCGACGAUCUGUAGCGGGUCUGAGAGGAUGAUCCGCCACACUGGGACUGAGACACGGCCCAGACUCCUACGGGAGGCAGCAGUGGGGAAUUUUGGACAAUGGGCGAAAGCCUGAUCCAGCCAUGCCGCGUGAGUGAAGAAGGCCUCGGUUGUAAAGCUCUUCGGCUGGGAAGAAAUCGCACAGGCUAAUACUCUGUGUGGAGUGACGGUACCAGCACAAGAAG
rnacentral:rRNA from 1 species